UACGGAGGGUGCAAGCGUUAUCCGGAUUCACUGGGUUUAAGGGGUGCGUAGGUGGGCUGGUAAGUCAGUGGUGAAAUCUCCAGGCUUAACUUGGAAACUGCCAUUGAUACUAUCAGUCUUGAAUACCGUGGAGGUCAGCGGAAUAUGUCAUGUAGCGGUGAAAUGCUUAGAUAUGACAUAGAACACCAAUUGCGAAGGCAGCUGGCUACACGAAUAUUGACACUGAUGCACGAAAGCGUGGGGAUCAAACAGG
rnacentral:rRNA from 1 species